rnacentral:rRNA from 1 species
CAGCAGCCGCGGUAAUACGUAGGUCCCGAGCGUUGUCCGGAUUUAUUGGGCGUAGAGGGAGCGCAGGCGGUUUAGUAAGUCUGAAGUUAAAGGCAUUGGCUCAACCAAUGUAUGCUUUGGAAACUGUUAGACUUGAGUGCAGAAGGGGAGAGUGGAAUUCCAUGUGUAGCGGUGAAAUGCGUAGAUAUAUGGAGGAACACCGGUGGCGAAAGCGGCUCUCUGGUCUGUCACUGACGCUGAGGCUCGAAAGCGUGGGUAGCGAACAGGAUUAGAUACCCCCGUAGUCCCUGUCUCUUAUACA